UACCCGCUGAACUUAAGCAUAUCACUAAGCGGAGGAAAAGAAACUAACUAGGAUUCCCCCAGUAACUGCGAGUGAAGAGGGAAGAGCUCAUCAUUGGAAUCUGGCAGUGUUUCACUGUCCGAGUUGUAGAUGAGGAGUAGUCCGUCUGGACUGCAUGGCGUCCAAGUACAAUAGGCCGUCAGUGGGACAUCAUAGAGGGUGACAAUCCCGUCCUUGACGCCAAUGUGCAAGUCUAUUACGAUGGCUAUCUCAGAGAGUCGAGCAGUUUGGGAUUUGCUGCUUAAACAUGGGAGGUAGAUUCCUUCUAAAGCUAAAUACAGGCGAGAGACCGAUAGAGAACAAGUACCGCAAGGGAAAGAUGAAAUAGCACUCUGUGAAGGGAGUCAAAAGGCGUGAAAUUGUUGCGAGAGAAGCGAUUCAAGUCAGCGUAGCUAGGCCCAUCAAGCGUCUUCGCUUUGGACUAGCUUUGCCAGCGGUCUUGUCCCUUAAAGAGACUUGACUUGUAAUAUGUCCAGCCUGGCGUGCACAGGCAGCCCCUUCUGGGGGCCAGUGACAUGGCUGGUGGAAUGGCUUGCAAUCGACCCGUCUUGAAACACGGACCAAGGAGUCUAACAUGUAUGCGAGUAUAAGGGUGGCAAACCCGUAUGCGCAAUGAAAGUGAUUUUCGGUGAUUGAGAAUGGCCUGAUGACCAGACAAGCAAUAUAUGUCCCUCGUACGGCCAUUGCCCAAGUUCCGUGGUAGAUCCCACGAACAUGGAGUUGGAGCAUACAUGCUAGGACCCGAAAGAUGGUGAACUAUGCCUGGACAAAGCGAAGCCAAAGGAAACUCUGGUGGAGGCUUGUAGCGAUUCUGACGUGCAAAUCGAUCGUCUGAUCUGGGUAUAGGGGCGAAAGACUAAUCGAACCAUCUCAUAGCUGGUUCCUGCCGAAGUUUCCCUCAGGA
rnacentral:rRNA from 1 species